rnacentral:rRNA from 1 species
UACGGAGGAUCCAAGCGUUAUCCGGAUUUAUUGGGUUUAAAGGGUGCGUAGGCGGCUCAUUAAGUCAGGGGUGAAAGACGGUAGCUUAACUAUCGCAGUGCCUUUGAUACUGAUGAGCUUGAAUGUAGUUGAGGUAGGCGGAAUGUGACAAGUAGCAGUGAAAUGCAUAGAUAUGUCACAGAACACCAAUUGCGAAGGCAGCUUACUAAAGUAUGAUUGACGCUGAGGCACGAAAGCGUGGGGAUCAAACAGG